AACGAACGCUGGCGGCAUGCCUAACACAUGCAAGUCGAACGAGACCUUCGGGUCUAGUGGCGCACGGGUGCGUAACGCGUGGGAACCUGCCCUUAGGUUCGGAAUAACUCCCCGAAAGGGGUGCUAAUACCGGAUAAUGUCUUCGGACCAAAGAUUUAUCGCCUUUGGAUGGGCCCGCGUUGGAUUAGCUAGUUGGUAGGGUAAAAGCCUACCAAGGCGACGAUCCAUAGCUGGUCUGAGAGGAUGAUCAGCCACACUGGGACUGAGACACGGCCCAGACUCCUACGGGAGGCAGCAGUGGGGAAUAUUGGACAAUGGGCGGAAGCCUGAUCCAGCAAUGCCGCGUGAAUGAUGAAGGCCUUAGGGUUGUAAAGCUCUUUUACCCGGGAUGAUAAUGACAGUACCGGGAGAAUAAGCUCCGGCUAACUCCGUG
rnacentral:rRNA from 1 species